GACGGAGGGUGCAAGCGUUGUCCGGAUUUAUUGGGUUUAAAGGGUGCGUAGGCGGGUUAUUAAGUCAGUGGUUCAAGUCUGCGGCUCAACCGCAGGAGUGCCAUUGAUACUGGUAGUCUUGAGUACAGUAGAGGUAGGCGGAAUUUAUGGUGUAGCGGUGAAAUGCAUAGAUACCAUAAAGAACACCGAUAGCGUAGGCAGCUUACUAUGCUGUAACUGACGCUGAGGCACGAAAGCGUGGGGAUCGAACAGG
rnacentral:rRNA from 1 species